GGCUUUGCUGGUGGGAUAAGUGUAGUCGUUCAUCUAGCUGACUUCUUUAUGUACUUCUCAACUCCAGUACCUUAAAUGCUGUGACUGUAUGAAGAUGGCCCAUAUUAGGUAGAACCAAUGUAAAAGAGAACAGAAGGCUGGCAAACUUUUGAGAUAGCAGUUUUUAGGAAGAUGAACCCUAUCAGAGCCACACAUGAUCAUCCUUGAUGUGCAGAAGUAUAGAGUUCAGAGCCCAAGGAGAAGGGUCAUGCUUCAGUUCAAGUGAUGGCUCCAACCAUAAGAAGAUGGGAUAGAGUUAGUGAUAGUUUAUUUAUCCCUGCAAAAUACUGAUACCUUCUGGCACAUGGAACCUCCCCCCAUAUCCCAACAUCUGAAAUAGCUAUAAAAAUGGAGAAUCAUAAAGAAGACCACGAUCCCACAGAAUGGGACUUACCCACUUCACCAGAGGAAGAAGUCGACAGUGCUUGCUGACACCACAGAACCCAGGAAAAGAAGAGAAUAGAUUUGACAUCCUGUGGCAUUUACCUGGCCCAGGCCCUGACUCAGCUCAACUGGAUAACUUCCAGAAUGAAAAUUUAGAGAAAGCAGAGAAG
rnacentral:lncRNA from 1 species